rnacentral:lncRNA from 1 species
GUGAGAUGCGAAGAAGUUGAAAAAAAAAGCCAACGCCAUGUUGAUUAAGUCUUCAAAUUUAUGUUCCCCACUUGAUUAUAAAAUAUAUUAUGUAUGUAUUUCUUAUUACCCUAUAAUUUCCGUACUACAACUUAUACUAUUAUUUACUCUAGUAAAAUAAUUUGUUGGUUCUAAUUUCUAAAUAAGGAUCUAAUGCUUUUGAAGAAAAGUUUGAAUCUGACUUUGUAUUAUUAUUAUUUUUUUCUGAUAAUCUAUACCCGUUUUAUACAGUAAGUAAGCCUUGGAUUGGGUUACACUAUUGCUAUGAACAAUAAUUAAAAAUCAACAUUUUUUAUUACGGAAAAGAAAAAAAAGUAUGAAGGGAGAAAGAGUUACAGGAAUGGCUUGGAAGAAGAGGGACCUCUUGAUUUGGAUAAUAAGGAUUAUUAUAUUAUUGUUACACCUACAUGAAUGAAUAUAUAUAGAUUAUUAUCCGGUUAAUUAGAAAAGGUAUACCUUUGUGGUGUAAUCUUGGUUAGGCAAAUGAUUUAUCUAAUUUAGUAAAAGCCAAUAAUUUAUAAAGUUAGUUUACCAUUUAAUUAAGUUUUUUAAAUAAGUCUGCUGGCAUUAUUACAUGCCAUACGAUUUUAAAGAAAAUUUAGACAAUUAUCAAGACACUCGUAUAAACUAGUAUUUUAAGUCCAUGAAUUAGAUAUGUAUUAAAGUUCAUAAAGUUGAUACGGCUAUAAUAAAUUGUAGGUUUCCAUGUUUGUUAAGGACUAGUUAAUUUGUUUUGCUUUUGCUUGGCUUCACUAAACUAAGGUACGGAUUCUGUUUCUUUCCAUCGUAGUAUACUUUUAUAUUUUCGUUACUCACUGGUACGAAUUCUUUGGUCUUGCUAUCAUAGUAUUUUUUCUAUGUCCGUUACUUUACUAUAUGGUACACCGUACCACGUACCGAGUUGGCGUUCUGAAUGAACCUACCCCCCUUGUACCGGAUUUUAGAAAUGGACGAACCGCGUACCGGAACGUAUCCCGAUCCAUGUGACUAUGGUUAAAAGUUUGCUUUCUGCUUUAUUCUAGCCCCAUUGAAGGGAUGUUUUCAUGUUAUUAAUAACCUCUUCCUCGUGGAAUUACAUAGACACGUGAAUACGUUUUCCCAAAAUAAAAAUAUAAAGAAACAUACUCU